rnacentral:tRNA from 1 species
GUGGUUGUGGCUCAGUGGUAGAGUGCUCACUUAGCAUGUGUGAGGCCCUGAGUUUGAUCCUCAGAACCACA